rnacentral:rRNA from 1 species
UACGAAGGGGGCUAGCGUUGUUCGGAUUUACUGGGCGUAAAGCGCACGUAGGCGGAUCGUUAAGUCGGGGGUGAAAUCCUGGAGCUCAACUCCAGAACUGCCUUCGAUACUGGCGAUCUCGAGUUCGGGAGAGGUGAGUGGAACUGCGAGUGUAGAGGUGAAAUUCGUAGAUAUCAGGAAGAACACCCGUGGCUAAGGCGGCUCUCUAGUACGGUACUGACGCUGAGACGCGAAAGCGUGGGGAGCGAACAGG